UCGAGCUUCUUUCGCAUCAUGAGGAAGAACUCAGUCUUCGAGGUAUGCAACCAGUGGGUCAAUCCAGCUAGGUUCAUGGCUGAUCUCCAUUACAAGUUGCGAUUCUUUCAUACUUGGAUACUUUAGAACUUCGAAGAAGACUUCCUUGGGUAGUUCAGUCGGAGCCAGUGUAGUCAACUUAGAGAGAAGAUCGGCCCUGGUAUUUUCUGCUCUUAAAAUCUGCUUGAUGCCAAAGCUGCCAAAGGCAGGGAUAAUCUCUUUUACCUUUUCGAGAUACUUGGCCAUACUAUCCUCUCGGGCUUCAUAGCUUAUGCUGACUUGUCCCACCACCAAUUGGGAGUCACUGUAGACUUGGAGCCGGUUUACUUCUAAUUCUUUGGCGAUCCUCAGUCUUGCAAUCAGAGCUU
rnacentral:lncRNA from 1 species